rnacentral:rRNA from 1 species
GACGGUACACCAAGAAUAAGAGACGGCUAACUACGUGCCAGCAGUCGCGGUAAUACGUAGGUCUCAAGCGUUAUCCGGAUUUACUGGGCGUAAAGUAUCCGUAGCCUGAUAUGUAAGUCUGUUUUCAAAUCCCACGACUCAAUCGUGGAAAGGGAAUGGAUACUGCAUAUCUAGAAGUUAUUGGGGGUUAGUGGAAUUUCCGGUGGAGCGGUGAAAUGCGUUGAUAUCGGAAAGAACGCCGAAAGCGAAAGCAGCUAACUAUGAUUAACUUGACGGUGAGGGAUGAAAGUUUGGGUAGCAAACGGGAUUAGAUACCCCGGUAGUCCAAACUGUAAAUUAUGCUUGCUAGGUGCUUCGAUCCUUGUGGUCGGAGUGCCGUAAUCUAACGAGUUAAGCAAGUCGCCUGGGUAGUAUAUUCGCAAGAAUGAAACUCAAAGGGAUAGGCGGGGGAACACACAAGCAGUGGAUUAUCUAGAUUAAUUGGAUAAUAAGCCAAGAAUCUUACCUAGAAUUGACAUGCAUUGUGUCUCAUAUGAAAGUAUGAUAUUUGUAGCAAUACAGAGCUUUGCACAGGUGGUGCAUGGUCGUCGUCAGCUCGUGCCGCAAGGUGUCCAGUUAA